GUGCAGUAGUUCCUUUUUAUAUGUGCUAUUUUCCCCCUUCUAUCGUCUCCCCAGAAUUUGCACUUACCAAUCUAUCAAAUUAGCUAAUGUGAGCUGCUUCAACCUUAAUGUUGUUGCACAUGGCUGUUGACAUUUGGAGGUGUUGGAUUAUUGCUUUGUUUUUUAGUGAGGCAACAAAUGGAAUUUAAGUGACCCAGGAAUCCACAUUGGUAACCUACAAGUACCUAUCAUUUGCAGGAAAUUAGAGGGAAUGACUAUAACAAAGUCUGAUUGAUGCUCCAAGACAGGAGACAAGUUGCCGUGCCCAAGUAGGAAUGGCUAGCUGCUGCACACUGAGUGCCACGCAUGGCCAUACAUGGAUGCAAGAUCAUUUUCACACCAAGAAAAUCAAUGUGCUCAUGGAUGGUAUUGACUAUUCCUAGCAUAGACAAAUCGUUUUGCAAGCCAAACAUGUGAUCUGUGCACUGAUGUUUUGUACAUAGUAGUUGUGCAAGCUAAACUUGUGAUAUCUGCAAGCCAAAGCAUGUGGCCUGUGGAAACUAAAUGGCAUGUCUAGAUACUUGUCUGAUCUAGCUUGCUGCUUUUGAAUUUUGUCAAAAGUUGUACUAGUCCCCCCUUAAAAUCAAGCUUGAAAUCCAUUCCCU